rnacentral:rRNA from 1 species
GAUGAACGCUGGCGGCGUGCCUAAUACAUGCAAGUCGAGCGAACAGACGAGGAGCUUGCUCCUCUGACGUUAGCGGCGGACGGGUGAGUAACACGUGGAUAACCUACCUAUAAGACUGGGAUAACUUCGGGAAACCGGAGCUAAUACCGGAUAAUAUAUUGAACCGCAUGGUUCAAUAGUGAAAGACGGAUUUGCUGUCACUUAUAGAUGGAUCCGCGCCGCAUUAGCUAGUUGGUAAGGUAACGGCUUACCAAGGCAACGAUGCGUAGCCGACCUGAGAGGGUGAUCAGCCACACUGGAACUGAGACACGGUCCAGACUCCUACGGGAGGCAGCAGUAGGGAAUCUUCCGCAAUGGGCGAAAGCCUGACGGAGCAACGCCGCGUGAGUGAUGAAGGUCUUCGGAUCGUAAAACUCUGUUAUUAGGGAAGAACAAAUGUGUAAGUAACUAUGCACGUCUUGACGGUACCUAACCAGAAAGCCACGGCUAACUACGUG